UUUUUUUUUUCUGCUGCAUGUCUUGUUUUUUGGGGGGAUGGCGGGGAGCGAUCCUCUCCAGACCCCCAUAUGAGGACCUGCCAUAUGGAGAAGGCAUCUGGGGGCUCAGGAAGAAUAUAGCGCAGCUCCAUACCUGUACGGACUGCAUAACUUUUAAACUCCCGGACUCAAAAGAUAAUGGACCCACACAAACGCAGGUACAGGAAAUACAUCCAGACCAGAGCCUUUACAGAGCCGAGCUGACCGGAAGACGUUGCCUUUCAUUCAUUCAUCCUGCCCUCGUCUGUGGAGUCCUUCACUAGGCGACGAGCCCUGGAACAGAAGUUGGACAGUUUUAAAAGGUCCCUGCGCUGGCCAAGAGAAGGAAAUAGAUGCUCAGGAGUGAAACACCGAGAGAAUCCGAUCUGGCGCCUCCUAACGCAGCUGGCAAGCAGGCGAAGGACUGCAUCCCAGAUCCACGAGAUCUGCUGGGCAGAAACCGAGGGAGCCAGCUGUCAUCGCCCGCAGCUGAGGCCUGAGAACGCGCACCCUGCGUGCUCGCCGCGGACCCCCUUGUCUGGGAGGCCGCUAUCUGCACCCUGCACCUUGACAUCAACCUCUGCAUCCGCGUCUCCCACCGCUAAUCGUGCUUAAUGUCUGCUCUGGGCACCGCCAGGACCGGUCAGCAUAAUUUUGGGAGUCCUCACUCGCCUGGGUCAACUUACCCGCCUGCUCGAAAAGUUGGAUGCUCCUUCCAGAGUCCCGACUUCUCAGCCUGGGAGCUGUGUGCUGUGGAUAAGUGACUUCACCAAGUGAAUCUCAUUAUCAUUUCUACGGUGGGAAAAUAAUAGAUGUUUGGGAGAAUGAAAUGAGACCACAGAAACCCCAGUCAUUACGCGCCGUAGUUCCCUUUUCUGCUUUCGUUUUCUCUGUAGCACUGGUCACCAUAUAUCACAUUUUAUUUGUUGUUUUCUCCUCCCACUAGGAUGACAACGCCACAAAGUAGCAAUUUUAAUCUCUUUUGUCCACCUCUGUAACCCCACACAUGUCAAUUAGAGCUUGGCC